UGAGUAACCUGCCCUGGACUUUGGGAUAACCCUCGGAAACGGGGGCUAAUACCGGAUAUGACACGCUCUCGCAUGGGAUGUGUGUGGAAAGUUUUUUCGGCUGGGGAUGGGCCCGCGGCCUAUCAGCUUGUUGGUGGGGUGAUGGCCUACCAAGGCGACGACGGGUAGCCGGCCUGAGAGGGCGUCCGGCCACACUGGGACUGAGACACGGCCCAGACUCCUACGGGAGGCAG
rnacentral:rRNA from 1 species